CGGUUAAGUUAGAAAGGGCGCACGGUGGAUGCCUUGGCACUAGGAGCCGAUGAAGGACGGGACGAACACCGAUAUGCUUCGGGGAGCUGUAAGCAAGCUUUGAUCCGGAGAUUUCCGAAUGGGGAAACCCACCACUCGUAAUGGAGYGGUAUCCAUAUCUGAAUACAUAGGAUAUGAGAAGGCAGACCCGGGGAACUGAAACAUCUAAGUACCCGGAGGAAGAGAAAGCAAAUGCGAUUCCCUGAGUAGCGGCGAGCGAAACGGGAUCAGCCCAAACCAAGAGGCUUGCCUCUUGGGGUUGUAGGACACUCUAUACGGAGUUACAAAGGAAYGAGGUAGAUGAAGAGGUCUGGAAAGGCCCGCCAUAGCAGGUAACAGCCCUGUAGUCAAAACUUCGUUCU
rnacentral:rRNA from 1 species